GACGAACGCUGGCGGCGUGCUUAACACAUGCAAGUCGAACGGACAGGCCCUGCUCUUGUGGCGUGCUCGAGUGGCGAACGGGUGAGUAAAACGUGAGUAACCUGCCCUUAUCUUUCGGAUAACUUCAGGAAACUGCGGCUCUAACCGGAUAGGAGCUCCUGCUGCAUGGGGUGGGUUGGAAAGUUACGGCUGUUGGGGAUGGACUCGCGGCUUAUCAGCUUCUUUGUGGGGUAGUGGCUUACCAAGGCUUUGACGGGUAGCCGGCCUGAGAGGGUGACCGGCCACAAUGGGACUAAGAGAGGGACCAGAAGCGUACGGGAGGCAGCAGUGGGGAGUAUGGCACAAUAGGCGGAAGCCUGAGGCGGCAACGCCGCGUGCGGGAUGACGUCCUACGGGUUGUAAACCGCUGUCGCAUGUGACGAAGCGUGAGUGACGGUAAUGGGUAAGAAAGCACCGGCUAACUACGUG
rnacentral:rRNA from 1 species